GGCCCGGUCGUCUAGUGGUCAGGAUGCCUCCCUUUCACGGAGGAGAUCGCGGGUUCGAGUCCCGUCCGGGCUACCA
rnacentral:tRNA from 1 species